rnacentral:lncRNA from 1 species
GCUGAGGGGGCAACUGGGAGCACUGGGAGCAACUGGGGGGGCAACUGGGAGCGGCUGGGGGGCAACUGGGAGCACUGGGGGGCAACUGGUCCUUACUGGUCCUUACUGGUUGUUAGUAGGUCUUAUUGGUCCUUACUGGUCCUUACUGGUGUUACUGGUCCUUACUGGUCCUUACUGGUGUUACUGGUGUUACUGGUGCUACUGGUCCUUACUGGUCCUUACUGGUGUUGCCGGUGCCCGCUUGCAGCGCCGCCAGCAGCAGCCGCCACAACCCGGUGCAGCUGUGGGACGCCUACGACGGCCGCGUCAGGGGCAGCUUCCGGGCCCACAACCACCUGGUGAG